rnacentral:lncRNA from 10 species
GUCACCAGGGCCACAGCUGGAGAGAUAAAUACAUAACAAGAGAUAAUCAACAGGAGUGCAAGCUUGAAUCAGCAUGAAACAUGCAGUGUGUGCAGUUUCCAUGGGGCCCAUGGCCAGAAGUUAGAGAAAUCUGGCAGGAACACUCAGAAGUGUUCUUGGGAGAUACAGUGGGGAUGCCAUGGCUCUUCCUGAAAUCCUGAGAGCUUAUUCCUGCCCUUGAACUUCUAUUGGUUUUAUAGGAAAGGCUCUUGGAACCCCAGCACCUGAGCACAAUCCCAUUCUAAGAUUUCCUGAGUGGUAUCAUUUAAAUUUACAGAUGGAGUCUCACUCUGUUGCCCAGGCUGGAGUGCAGUGGCAUGAUCUCGGCUCACUGCAGCCUCCACCUCCCAGAGACUGAUAAAUGUCACCUGUUAUCACCCGUCUCUCCUUCCAAAGAAAGAGAACUCCCAACUUUUAACCUGGCACAUGAUUACCCAAAAUGAAGACUCCAUAUAUCAGCCAUGGCCAAGUUUCUGACCAAUGAGAUAAAUAAAACAGACACGACUGGAUGUGAAACAGUCAUUUGGACCAUGAAGUGACCUUGGAAAAGGAAGCCAGGACUGGUGUCCAUAUAAGAAGAUAGCCCUGUGAAGACACAGACUCAGAGAGAAUUCUAAUAUGGAGAUGGAAACAAAAUCUGUAGUCAUGCUGCUCCAAGCUAAGGAAUACCUGGGGCUACCAGAAGCUCGAAGAAGCAGGAGAAGUUCCUCCCUAGAGGCUUCAGAGAACAUGACAUCUGACACAUUGAUUUCAGUUGGCUGACCUUCAAAGCGAUGAGGUGAAUUUCUGUUGUUUUAAGCCACCCAGAGACAGCCCUAAGAAAUUAAUGCACAUGCUAAUACUAGUUUUCUCUAAGUUUCAUUGAGAAUAUUGAAAAAUAUAUAUUUAAAUAUCUGGAUCUUAUUGAGAAUACAAAGAAGACUUUCAUACGUUGGUAUUUCUGAAUCUUCAUUUAUAAAGUGUUAAAUAACUUAUGCCCAAAAGAAAAAAUCGGUCAGAAAUUACCUCAUAUCAGUAAGUUCUAUAGUAAAGGAAUAAAUGCAUCUAAGAAUGACACAUGAAAUAUUUCUCCUCAAUGCUCCUGUAACACCCUAUGAAUCCCUCUGUCUACUUAUCUUUUUCCCCAAAGGACUGGGAAGAACUUGAGGAUAGAUACCUUGUUUUCUUUUUUUUUGGGAAUUUUGCACCUACCAGAGUGCCUGGGGAUCUGGUCAAGACUCAAUAACUAUAUGUCCCAAGUGAAUAAAUGAAGGAAUAAUAAAAUAGCAUAGAUGUUAACCCUUAAAAAAUCUAGAAAUAAGAGGUAUUUAAAAUAAGAGGUAUUUUUGUUUUCUAAAAGUAUGAUAAAUUCCCUUUAUUUACAGGUUAUAUUAAUAUGACUUUAAAGAGACAUUUUAUCAUCUUCAACUCUUAUCAUAGUUCUUAUCUCUAUUGUUACAUUUAGAAAUAUAAUCAAUCUCCUCUUUUAAAAUGCAUUCCAUAACAGUAAUAGUUUUGCCUAUGAUACCACUUGGAUUCUACUUACAUAUCUGAGUAGGUUGGAAAAUGUGUAGAUGUUUUUAAAGGAAAAGAACAGAAGUUUUCAUUUUUCAUUCAAGCAAGCAUUAAUAAUAAAAA